rnacentral:rRNA from 1 species
GAUGAACGCUGGCGGCGUGCUUAACACAUGCAAGUCGAACGAUGAAGCCCAGCUUGCUGGGUGGAUUAGUGGCGAACGGGUGAGUAACACGUGAGUAACCUGCCCUUAACUCUGGGAUAAGCCUGGGAAACUGGGUCUAAUACCGGAUAGGAGCGUCCACCGCAUGGUGGGUGUUGGAAAGAUUUAUCGGUUUUGGAUGGACUCGCGGCCUAUCAGCUUGUUGGUGAGGUAAUGGCUCACCAAGGCGACGACGGGUAGCCGGCCUGAGAGGGUGACCGGCCACACUGGGCCUGAGACACGGCCCAGACUCCUACGGGAGGCAGCAGUGGGGAAUAUUGCACAAUGGGCGCAAGCCUGAUGCAGCGACGCCGCGUGAGGGAUGACGGCCUUCGGGUUGUAAACCUCUUUCAGUAGGGAAGAAGCGAAAGUGACGGUACCUGCAGAAGAAGCACCGGCUAACUACGUG